AACUAUUGGCUUGAUAAUGUAACAAAACUGUGCUCAUGCAUUUGUAAACGUUGAAUUUCGUUGAGUUCAUGCAUUUGUAAACGGCGAACUGGGUUGGCCGAGUGGUUAAGGCGUUGGACUUAAGUUCCAAUGAACGAAUGUCCGCGUGGGUUCGAACCCCACACCCAGUAUGCGAUUGUCAAUAGUUUUGGGCAACUAAUUUCAUUUUGAUAUCUAGCCAGGAAAUUGAGAAAACACAUAUACGGCAAAGGUGUUGCAUUAGAAAAUUACGUUACUCGACAUUUCGUUUUAAAAAGAAAACAUAUGCAAUAAACCGGCAAAGAAGUGACUAUAGCAGUACUAGAAAGCUUGUGUUUCCUCAAUUUUCGUGGGUAGCGUGCCCGAUUGGUCUAAGGCGCUGGUUUAAGGCACCAGUCAUUUCGAUGGCGUGGG